CUACUGGGGUAUCUAAUCCUGUUCGCUCCCCACGCUUUCGUACCUCAGCGUCAGUUACAGUCCAGUGAGCUGGCUUCCCUAUCGGCGUUCCUCAUGGUAUCUAUGCAUUUCACCGCUACACCAUGAAUUCCGCCCACCUCAACUGUACUCAAGACUACCAGUAUCCAUGGCAAUUUCCCGGUUGAGCCGAGAGCUUUCACCACAGACUUAGCAAUCCGCCUACGUACCCUUUAAACCCAAUAAAUCCGGACAACGCUUGCACCCUCCGUAUUACCGCGGCUGCUGGCAC
rnacentral:rRNA from 1 species